rnacentral:rRNA from 1 species
CAAUAGCGUAUAUUAAAGUUGUUGCAGUUAAAAAGCUCGUAGUUGGAUUUCUGGUUGAAGCGACCGGUCGGGCGUUGAUUCGUCUGCACUGGAGUCGGUUUUGGCCAUCCUCUAGGAAAGUGCGUCUGGUAUUAAGUUAUCGGGCGUAUGAUCCUGGUCUUUUACUGUGAAAAAAUUAGGGUGUUUAAAGCAGGCCUUCGCCUUGAAUACAUUAGCAUGGAAUAAUAAGAUAGGACUUUGGUCUAUUUUGUUGGUUUGCAGACCGAAGUAAUGAUUAAUAGGGAUAGUUGGGGGUAUUUAUAUUCCGAUGUCAGAGGUGAAAUUCUUAGAUUUUCGGAAGAUAAACUUAUGCGAAAGCAUUUACCAAGGAUGUUUUCAUUAA